AACUAAGGCCCCUAAAUGACCGCUCAGUGAUAAAUGAGGUGGGGGUGCAAAGACAGCCAGGAGGUUUGCCUAGAAGGAGCCACCCUUUAAAGAGUGCGUAAUAGCUCACUGAUCGAGCGCCCUUGCGCUAAAGAUGAAUGGGGCUAAGCGAUCUGCCGAAGCU
rnacentral:rRNA from 1 species